rnacentral:rRNA from 1 species
AUUGAACGCUGGCUGCAGGCCUAACACAUGCAAGUCGAACGAGUGGCGGACGGGUGAGUAAUGUCUGGGAAACUGCCUGAUGGAGGGGGAUAACUACUGGAAACGGUAGCUAAUACCGCAUACCAUCAGAUGUGCCCAGAUGGGAUUAGCUUGUUGGUGGGGUAACGGCUCACCAAGGCGACGAUCACUAGCUGGUCUGAGAGGAUGACCAUGCGAACUGGACAUUAGACUCGGGCCAGACUCCUACGGGAGGGAGGAGUGGGGAAUAUUGCACGAUGGGCGGAAACCUGAUUCAGCCAUGCCGCGUGUAUGAAGAAGGCCUUCGGGUUUUAAAGUGCUUUCAGCGGGGAGGCGUUACCCGAGGAAGAAGCACGGGAUAACUCCGUGCCAGCCGCCGCGGUAGUAC